GUAUACAUGGCCACUCAGGAAUACCGACUCUCCUACAAAGAUUUCACGGGCACUACUCAGUCCAAACAAUGGAACAAGACGACAGUACCUAGUUUUGUCAAACGACUUUGAUUUACGGAUCAUUUUUUUGGGAUGUAGAUAAGUUCUAUUUGUGCGAUCUAUUUGGAUUGAAGUUUGCAAACCGGCAUCCUGCAAGACAAACCUGAAGGAGUCUUUGAACUACAAGAAUAUCAUUGCUAUAACCCCGCGGUGUAUCCAUGACAAACUCAAGCACACCAACACGUUUAUUAGUGUCAAUCACAGGCACAGCAAAGGAUCCCCAAUUCUUAGUAAAAAUAGCAUCUUCACACGGAGGACGCUGAUCUUCAGGGUAUUCGUGCACGUUUUGAGUUUGUUGAGGAGUGCAGCGUAGGUAAGCCUUGCCUGCAAGACCGAAUGCCGCUUCUUCCUUAGCAUCUCUAUACACAUAGAGUUUGUGGUCUAAACAGGCUAAAUAGUAUUUCUGAAGUUCUUUGUUGAUCCCAAAAAGACGAAAAGGCAUAUGUGUUGCGGUAGUAAGCACACAUGCGUCUCCAAUUUCCUUUGGCACCCAUAACAGAACAAGAACAGAUUCACCGUCUUUAACUGGUAAAAUUUCAAGGAUAGAAGUGAUCUUUUUCAGCACCUCGCCAUCAAUGGGAGCACG
rnacentral:lncRNA from 1 species